rnacentral:pre_miRNA from 12 species
CCACCACUUAAACGUGGGAGUACUUGCUUUAUAACGGGGAAAGUAAGUGCUUCCAUGUUUUGGUGAUGG